rnacentral:lncRNA from 1 species
ACACACACACCACAGCUUGCACGUGUAAUGCUUCUGGCAGGGUUGCCUCAGCAAGACCGAUACCAACAAAGCAAGGCAUCGCCAAGCAAGCAAGCAAGCAAGCACGCAAGCAAGCAAGCAAGCCAGCCAGCCAUGCCACCGGGACUCCUCCGACCCGAUCCCUCGCGUUGUUCCCGCAGUCAACGCCCCCGCAGCUCCCAGGCACCGCGACACCACGCCCGCAACGGCCAGGGCUGCUGCCCGCCACGACCUCUGAGAAGUUGUUGAUUGGGAGGGGAUCCGCUCAUCUAGGCAAGGGGAAGGGCGCCGCAGGGCGUCCGCGCGGCCCCCGCAGCCGCCCCGCCCCUGGGCCCCGCACGCGGAGCGCAGAACAGAGGCGCCCGGCGCGCAUCUCAGCCGCCCCGGGAGCCCGCGCACCCGUGCGUGGGGAGGGAGUGCGGGGCGGGCGAGCGCUCGUCGGGCGUGGGCCGCAACUUGGCGGGCCAGAUGCCCCAGGGCUCGGCGGCGCUGUCUGCCUGCCGCUGCUGCCCCUGCGGGGCCCGGGCGCGUCUCCUUGGGCGGCGCUGCCCGCGGCGCUGGGAGUGCAGUGAACGAGUAAAGGUAUGUGUGGCGGGCGCGGCUGGGGCAGCCGCCGCCGCGCAGGACACUGUCACUUCCCUGGACAUUGGCAGCGGCAUCUGGGAGCCCUAGAGCCCUGGGCAGGUUCUCCUGUCCUUCCCCACGAUCUGAUUGGAUAAACUGGGGCCUCGACGGUGGCCGACGUGGGACAGCCUGGCUGUGGCAGGGGUCUCGGAAACCAUGGGUUAUUGCAGUGGCAGGUGCACGCUUAUCUUUAUCUGUGGCCCCAGCUCCUGCUUGGAAACCCCUAUCCCAUCUUCCCUCUCCCUGCUUUUAUGGGGGUACUCCCCCAUCCAUCCACCCACUCCCGCCUCCAUGUCCUGGCAUUCCCCUACACAGUGCAUCAAGCCUUCCCGGGACAAAGGACAUCUCCUCCCAUUGAUGUUCCACAAGACCAUCCUCUGCUACAUAUGCGACUGGAGCCAUGGAUCCCUCCAUGUGUACUCUUUGGUUGGUGGUUUAGUCCCUGGGAGCUCUGGGGGGUCUGGUUGGUUGAUAUUGUUGUUCUUCCUAUGGGUUGCAGACACCUUCAGUCCUUCCUCUAACUCCUCCACUGGGGACCCUGUCCAGUGGUUGGCUGCAAGCAACUUUCUCUGUAUUUGUCAGGCUCUGGCAGAGCCUCUCAGGAGACAGCUAUAUCAGGCUUCUGCCAUCAAGCACUUCGCAUCUACAAUAGUGUCUGGAUUUGGUGUCUGUAUAUGGGAUGGACCCCAGGUGGGGCAGACUCUGGAUGGCCUUUCCUUUAGUUGUUGUUUCAUACUUUGUCUCUGUCUUUCCUCCCUUGAGUAUUUUGUUGUCCCUUCUAAGAAGGACUGAAGCAUCUGCUCUUUGGUCUUCCUUCUUCUUGAGCUUCAUGUGGUCUGUGAAUUGUAUCUUUGGUAUUUCAAACUUUUGAACUAAUAUCCACUUAUCAGUGAGUACAUACUAUGUGUGUUCUUUUGUGACUGGAUUACCUUCACUUGGGAUGAUAUUUUCUAAUUCCAUCCACUUGCCUAAGAGUUUCAUGAAUUCAUUGUUUUUAAUAGCCAAGUGUAAAUGCACCACAUUUUUCUGUAUCCAUUCCUCUGUUGAGGGACAUCUGGGUUCUUUUCAGCUUCUGGCUAUUAUAAAUAAUGCUGCUAUGAACAUAGUGGAGCACGUGUCCUUGUUAUAUGUUGGAGCAUCUUCUGAGUAUAUGCCCAGGAGUGGUUCAGCUGGGUCCUUGGGUAGUACUAUGUCCAAUUUUCUGAGGAACAGCCAGACUGAUUUUCAGAGUGGUUUUACCAGGUUGCAAUCCCACCAACAAUGGUGAAGUGUUCCUUUAGCUAUUUUUUUGAAUUACUUCUUGCAGUAAAGGCUUUUGAAAGCAAGUAUGUUUUUUCAUUUUCUAUUCCUAACUUUUAUAACACCUUAUCUAAUAUUGUAUAAGUAGUGCCUUCAUAAAUAUUUAUACAGUGAUUGGAUAGAUGAGUCAAUAUUUUAUUUUUAAAUUCUACAUUUUCUUUCUUUAAAAAUGCACUCCCUAUGUGCAAUGGGACUACACAUCAUGCGGCAGAACAUGUGCACUGAUGAUGAAAUGUGUGGCCAUGAUCCCAGUCCCCUCCUGUGCAUAACGCUGAAUAUCCUUAUGGGAUCAGACAGUAGCAGUUAGGGAACAGAAAUUAUUCUAUGAGUUCUGACUUAAGAUAACACAGAAAAGACUAAAUCUCAUUACUCAUAUUGAAGAGGACACAAGAUCGUUGCUGAUGAUAGCUUGGGGAGGUCCCCACCAUGAUAUGCUUUAUUUUCCAGGCUUAAGGUGAAUGUUGUGGUUUAAAAAUUUAUGACUCCAUGUGUUUUGCAAAUUGUAUCUUAUGUAUUCUAAGUUUCUGGGCUAAUACCCACUUAUCAGUGUGUGCAUAUCAUGUGAUUUCUUUUGUGAUUGGGUUACCACACUCAGGAUGAUAUCCUCCAGAUCCAUCCAUUUGUCUAAGAGUUUCAUAAAUUAAUUGUUUUUAAUAGCUGAGUAGUUCUCCAAUGUGUAAAUGUACCACAUUUUAUGUAUCCAUCCCUCUGUUGAGGGACAUCUGGGUUCUUUCCAGCUUCUGGCUAUUAUAAAUAAGGCUGCUGUUAACAUAGUAGAGCAUGUGUCAUUAUUAGAAGUUGGAACAUUUUCUGGGUUACAGCCUAUGAAUCUUACCUCAAAGUACUGGUAACAAGAAAGAAAUUAGGCCAAUUAGAUUACAUCAAACAAAAACCUCAAACUUCUAUAUAUGGAAUGAAAGAAUAAGUAGAGUGAAGAAACAGAUCACAAUUGAGGGUAAUAUUUCCUUGGCAUACAUCUUAUACUACAUUAAUAAUUACAGAAGAAAUUCUUAACAGAUAAAGACACAUAGUCACACACACACAUUUGAUUUAAAAAUUUGUAAAGUACUUUCAUAGAUAUUUCAUAGAUAAAUUAAAGCAUGCAAAAAGCAAACAAGUACAUAAAACAUGCUCAAUAUGUCAUCAUAGACAUUAGAAUGAGUCUUAUCAAAAAGAUAAAGAUAAUGAAUAUUAUAGGAAAAAGUAAGUUUAUUGCACAGCCAAUCAAAAUGUAAAUUCAUAGGACCAUUAUGAAAAACACUUGGGGAUUCCUUGAGUACUUUAAAUAGAGACACCAUAUGAACCAGCAAUCCUACUACUGGGAAUAUGUCCAAAGGAAGUAUAACCAAGUCAAAGAAAGCUCUGUAGUUUCACAAUCAUAGCAGCAAAAUCAAUACAAUACCAAGAUGUGGAAUCAAACUACAUGCUCAUCCAAAAUGUCAAUUAACGAUGUCUUAUCAUACACAGAUUAGGAUAACAUUUAGCCUUGCAAGGAUCAGAAGGACAGACAUGUCAUUUCAUUUAUAGCCCCUUUCAAGAUUCCAUUAUUGAUUUACAGGGUCACUUAAAACUCUUGAAGGGUUGUGGUGAGUAAAACAGAGAUGGCACUCCAUGCAACUGUUUGGAAUCCAGCGAGUAAU